rnacentral:rRNA from 1 species
UACGUAGGGGGCAAGCGUUGUCCGGAUUUACUGGGCGUAAAGGGCGCGUAGGCGGCCACCGCAAGUCGACUGUGAAAUCUCCGGGCUUAACCCGGAAAGGUCAGCCGAUACUGCGGGGCUAGAGUGCAGAAGGGGCAACUGGAAUUCUCGGUGUAGCGGUGAAAUGCGUAGAUAUCGAGAGGAACACCUGCGGCGAAGGCGGGUUGCUGGGCUGACACUGACGCUGAAGCGCGAAAGCUAGGGGAGCGAACGGG